CUGUCGUCAGCUCGUGUUGUGAAAUGUUGGGUUAAGUCCCGCAACGAGCGCAACCCUUAUCCUUUGUUGCCAGCGGUCCGGCCGGGAACUCAAAGGAGACUGCCAGUGAUAAACUGGAGGAAGGUGGGGAUGACGUCAAGUCAUCAUGGCCCUUACGACCAGGGCUACACACGUGCUACAAUGGCGCAUACAAAGAGAAGCGACCUCGCGAGAGCAAGCGGACCUCAUAAAGUGCGUCGUAGUCCGGAUUGGAGUCUGCAACUCGACUCCAUGAAGUCGGAAUCGCUAGUAAUCGUGGAUCAGAAUGCCACGGUGAAUACGUUCCCGGGCCUUGUACACACCGCCCGUCACACCAUGGGAGUGGGUUGCAAAAGAAGUAGGUAGCUUAACCUUCGGGAGGGCGCUUACCACUUUGUGAUUCAUGACUGGGGUGAAGUCGUAACAAGGUAACCGUAGGGGAACCUGCGGUUGGAUCACCUCCUU
rnacentral:rRNA from 1 species